rnacentral:rRNA from 1 species
AAUGAACGCUGGCGGCGUGGUUAAGACAUGCAAGUCGAACGGGCUUUCCGGUGUAGCAAUACAUCUGAAAGUCAGUGGCGAACGGGUGCGUAACACAUGAACAAUCUACCAUUUAGUGUGGAAUAGCUCGGCGAAAGCCGAAUUAAUACCGCAUGUGGUUGUUUCCCGCAUGGGAAGCAUACUAAAGUCAGGGACCGUAAGGCCUGACGCUAAUUGAGGAGUUCGCGGCCUAUCAGCUAGUUGGCGAGGUAACGGCUCAACAAGGCUAAGACGGGUAGCUGAUCGUAGGGGAUGAUCAGCAAAAAUGGAACUGAGACACGGUCCAGGAACCUACGGGUGGCAGCAGUUUCGAAUCAUUCACAAUGGGCGAAAGCCUGAUGGUGCGACGCCGCGUGAGGGAUGAAGGUCUUCGGAUUGUAAACCUCUGUCACUGGGGAGAAAACGCUUCAGGUUAAUAGCCUGAAGCCUGAUUUAACCCGGAGAGGAAGCAGUGGCUAACUCUGUGCCAGCCGCCGCCGUAAUAC